AUUGAACGCUGGCGGCAGGCUUAACACAUGCAAGUCGAGCGAGCGGCGGACGGGUGAGUAGUGUCUGGGAAACUGCCUGAUGGAGGGGGAUAACUGCUGGAAACCGUAGCUAAUACCGCAUACUAUCAGAUGUGCCCAGAUGGGAUUAGCUAGUAGGUGGGGUAAUGGCUCACCUAGGCGACGAACCCUAGCUGGUCUGAGAGGAUGACCGGCCAACCUGGAACGGAGACACGGUCCAGACUCCGAGGGGAGGCAGCAGUGGGGAAUAUUGCACAAUGGGCGCAAGCCUGAUGCAGCCAUGCCGCGUGUGUGAAGAAGGCCUUCGGGUUGUAAAGCACUUUCAGAGAGGAGGCGUUACUCGCAGAAGAAGCACCGGCUAACUCCGUGCCAGCAGCCGCGGUAAUAC
rnacentral:rRNA from 1 species